UAUUUCCGGUUCCAACUUGUUAAAUUUUCCUAACCUAGUAUUUUGAAUUGCUUCUAAUUUUUUUAUAAAUCACCCUCUAUAUGAAACUAUGUUUUUUCGAGUCUAUUUGGCAUUUUUUGAUUUUUGAGAAAAAAAUCACGUGAGCUCAAGCCUCGGUUGCCAUAGCAACGCAACAAAUGACCAUGUUUGGCGCAAUUUUCCGGUUUCAACUUGUCUAAAUUUGAAAUUUUCUGUGUGUGGACAGACCUGUGGAAUGACUGAACGGGCUUGCAUAUGAGCUUAUUUUCGACUGUGCCCUUCUCGUCGACCCUUUCGAGCUCAUCAAACGUGUGUUCAGUUUUCGAACUUUGUCUGGAUUUCGGGAUUUCACCAAAUGGCUCAUCCAUUUCCAAAAUUUACAGUUUUAUAUUCACUUCACACAAAUACACGAAUUUUAUUUUCGCAAAACUGUUAUUUCAUUACCAUGGAAACACACGUUCAAUUUUCCCCCAGAGACAAACAACCACUAGAUCGCUUCAUCAGGAAUUUAUUUGAAAUCAAGACAAGAAUUUAAUUUAACAAAACUGAACAGCUCAGCCGAUUGGUUGGCUUGCGAUUGGUUGCUACGGAGCGAUUCGACGUUCAUUUUUUUCGCCUAAAAGUUUGUUUUACACAGAAAAGAACAAUAGUAGGAGGGACCUGUUCUCGAAGGGCUUUCUCAUGACUGAAGACUUUACUAACAAUCUGACUGUAGAAGUAGAUUAUCAUUGACAUUGGGAUAAUGUAGGAACAUAUGAAUAUCGACGUGACGAACAUGUGGUUGUCGAAAGUGUCGGUCAAGUAGUCGAAGGAACAGGCCGUUAGGAAUCCCUCGGGGGCGAAUCGUCCCCAGAUUUCUAGUAGUGGCAGCACUGCCCAAGGAAUGGUGUACCCCCAAACGAAGAUGAUCAUGACUAAAGCCUUAGUUCUUGUGAUUUUGCCAUCAAAGGGCCUUGUUAUGGUCGUAUACCGGUCAUAGGCGAUACAUGCGUUGGUCAUACCGGCCCCAAUCCCCGAUAAAGACCCAAUAAAUGCGAAAAUUUGGCACCCUAAAUGCCCCAAAGCAAAACCACGAUAAAACGAAUUGUAAAUAAAAAUCGGUGUUUUGAUCAUCAUCGCAAAAUCGCAAAUGGCAAGAUUCACAACAAACAUA